UUUGGUUAAGUUAGAAAGGGCGCACGGUGGAUGCCUUGACACUAGGAGUCGAUGAAGGACGGGACUAACGCCGAUAUGCUUCGGGGAGCUGUAAGUAAGCUUUGAUCCGAAGAUUUCCGAAUGGGGAAACCCACCAUACGUAAUGGUAUGGUAUCCUUAUCUGAAUACAUAGGAUAAGGAAGACAGACCCAGGGAACUGAAACAUCUAAGUACCUGGAGGAAGAGAAAGCAAAUGCGAUUUCCUGAGUAGCGGCGAGCGAAACGGAACAUAGCCCAAACCAAGAGGCUUGCCUCUUGGGGUUGUAGGACAUUCUAUACGGAGUUACAAAGGAACGAGGUAGACGAAGCGACCUGGAAAGGUCCGUCGUAGAGGGUAACAACCCCGUAGUCGAAACUUCGUUCUCUCUUGAAUGUAUCCUGAGUACGGCGGAACACGUGAAAUUCCGUCGGAAUCUGGGAGGACCAUCUCCCAAGGCUAAAUACUCCCUAGUGAUCGAUAGUGAACCAGUACCGUGAGGGAAAGGUGAAAAGCACCCCGGAAGGGGAGUGAAAGAGAUCCUGAAACCGUGUGCCUACAAAUAGUCAGAGCCCGUUAACGGGUGAUGGCGUGCCUUUUGUAGAAUGAACCGGCGAGUUACGAUCCCGUGCGAGGUUAAGCUGAAGAGGCGGAGCCGCAGCGAAAGCGAGUCUGAAUAGGGCGUUUAGUACGUGGUCGUAGACCCGAAACCAGGUGAUCUACCCAUGUCCAGGGUGAAGUUCAGGUAACACUGAAUGGAGGCCCGAACCCACGCACGUUGAAAAGUGCGGGGAUGAGGUGUGGGUAGCGGAGAAAUUCCAAUCGAACCUGGAGAUAGCUGGUUCUCCCCGAAAUAGCUUUAGGGCUAGCCUUAAGUGUAAGAGUCUUGGAGGUAGAGCACUGAUUGGACUAGGGGUCCUCAUCGGAUUACCGAAUUCAGUCAAACUCCGAAUGCCAAUGACUUAUCCUUAGGAGUCAGACUGCGAGUGAUAAGAUCCGUAGUCAAAAGGGAAACAGCCCAGACCGCCAGCUAAGGUCCCAAAGUGUGUAUUAAGUGGAAAAGGAUGUGGAGUUGCUUAGACAACUAGGAUGUUGGCUUAGAAGCAGCCACCAUUUAAAGAGUGCGUAAUAGCUCACUAGUCGAGUGACUCUGCGCCGAAAAUGUACCGGGGCUAAAUACACCACCGAAGCUGCGGAUUGAUACCAAUGGUAUCAGUGGUAGGGGAGCGUUCUAAGGACAGUGAAGUCAGACCGGAAGGACUGGUGGAGUGCUUAGAAGUGAGAAUGCCGGUAUGAGUAGCGAAAGACGGGUGAGAAUCCCGUCCACCGAAUGCCUAAGGUUUCCUGAGGAAGGCUCGUCCGCUCAGGGUUAGUCAGGACCUAAGCCGAGGCCGACAGGCGUAGGCGAUGGACAACAGGUUGAUAUUCCUGUACCACCUCUUUAUCGUUUGAGCAAUGGAGGGACGCAGAAGGAUAGAAGAAGCGUGCGAUUGGUUGUGCACGUCCAAGCAGUUAGGCUGAUAAGUAGGCAAAUCCGCUUAUCGUGAAGGCUGAGCUGUGAUGGGGAAGCUCCUUAUGGAGCGAAGUCUUUGAUUCCCCGCUGCCAAGAAAAGCUUCUAGCGAGAUAAAAGGUGCCUGUACCGCAAACCGACACAGGUAGGCGAGGAGAGAAUCCUAAGGUGUGCGAGAGAACUCUGGUUAAGGAACUCGGCAAAAUGACCCCGUAACUUCGGGAGAAGGGGUGCUUUCUUAACGGAAAGCCGCAGUGAAUAGGCCCAAGCGACUGUUUAGCAAAAACACAGCUCUCUGCGAAGCCGUAAGGCGAAGUAUAGGGGUGACACCUGCCCGGUGCUGGAAGGUUAAGGAGAGGGGUUAGCGUAAGCGAAGCUCUGAACUGAAGCCCCAGUAAACGGCGGCCGUAACUAUAACGGUCCUAAGGUAGCGAAAUUCCUUGUCGGGUAAGUUCCGACCCGCACGAAAGGUGUAACGAUUUGGGCACUGUCUCAACCAGAGACUCGGUGAAAUUAUAGUACCUGUGAAGAUGCAGGUUACCCGCGACAGGACGGAAAGACCCCGUGGAGCUUUACUGUAGCCUGAUAUUGAAUUUUGGUACAGUUUGUACAGGAUAGGCGGGAGCCUUUGAAACCGGAGCGCUAGCUUCGGUGGAGGCGCUGGUGGGAUACCGCCCUGACUGUAUUGAAAUUCUAACCUACGGGUCUUAUCGACCCGGGAGACAGUGUCAGGUGGGCAGUUUGACUGGGGCGGUCGCCUCCUAAAGUGUAACGGAGGCGCCCAAAGGUUCCCUCAGAAUGGUUGGAAAUCAUUCGUAGAGUGCAAAGGCAUAAGGGAGCUUGACUGCGAGACCUACAAGUCGAGCAGGGACGAAAGUCGGGCUUAGUGAUCCGGUGGUUCCGCAUGGAAGGGCCAUCGCUCAACGGAUAAAAGCUACCCCGGGGAUAACAGGCUUAUCUCCCCCAAGAGUCCACAUCGACGGGGAGGUUUGGCACCUCGAUGUCGGCUCAUCGCAUCCUGGGGCUGUAGUCGGUCCCAAGGGUUGGGCUGUUCGCCCAUUAAAGCGGUACGCGAGCUGGGUUCAGAACGUCGUGAGACAGUUCGGUCCCUAUCCGUCGUGGGCGUAGGAAAUUUGAGAGGAGCUGUCCUUAGUACGAGAGGACCGGGAUGGACGCACCGCUGGUGUACCAGUUGUUCUGCCAAGGGCAUAGCUGGGUAGCUAUGUGCGGAAGGGAUAAGUGCUGAAAGCAUCUAAGCAUGAAGCCCCCCUCAAGAUGAGAUUUCCCAUAGCGUAAGCUAGUAAGAUCCCUGAAAGAUGAUCAGGUUGAUAGGUUCGAGGUGGAAGCAUGGUGACAUGUGGAGCUGACGAAUACUAAUAGAUCGAGGACUUAACCAUAUAA
rnacentral:rRNA from 1 species